AACGAACGCUGGCGGCGUGCCUAAUACAUGCAAGUCGAACGGGGAAAGCUUUCGGGUGAGUACUGGUGGCGCACGGGUGAGGAACGCGUGGAUAAUCUGCCUUAGAGUGGGGGAUAACUUGUCGAAAGGUUAGCUAAUACCGCAUAAGACCACGAGAGCUGCGGCUUUUGAGGUCAAAGGUUUUUCGCUCUGAGAUGAGUCCGCGUAAGAUUAGCUAGUUGGUGAGGUAACGGCUCACCAAGGCGGCGAUCUAUAACUGGUCAGAGGGGAUGAUCAGUCACACUGGAACAGAGACACGGUACAGACGCCUACGGGAGGGAGCAGGAGAGAAUAGUGCACAAGGGAGGAGACUCUGAUGCAGAGACGCCGCGUGAGAGAUGGAGGUCUUCGGGUCGUAAAGCUCUGUCGCAGGGGAAUAACACAAUGAAGGUACCCUGUAAGAAAGGAUCGGCUAACUUCGUG
rnacentral:rRNA from 1 species